UCAAACUGGAGUUCGGACUCCGGACCGGCAUUUCUGCUUGUUGGUACCCUGAGGUAAGUAAACUUUCUACAUUUUUGAAACGAUAUUACACUCUAAAAAACGUGAGCCAGUUGGGUUAUUUUGUUUGGUUGUUUUAUCAGUGUUGGGUAGUUAUAUGUUGGGUAAUUUUGAAGCAGAGCCAGCUUAAUAGAUACAUAGCUGUUUUUCAAUAUUACUUUCUCUAGUCCACAAAAUGUAUUUUAAACAUAAGUUCAGGCGAGAAUAUAUAUGUAUAAUGUUCAAAUUUGCAGUCGGUUUGUAAAGUGAACGCCAAUUUUAAAGUUUAAUUACACAAAGUCGGAAUGUUUCCGGCGUGACCACCGGGUGUCAGUGUUGUUCUUCCCCAGAGAGAACUCGUCCCUUCCCCCACACAGAUGCGUCAGCUGAACUUCUGCUCUCACUCACUGCAACGAUACCUGAAGCGGGAGUUUACUAUUCACCUCACGAUUCAUGAACGGUUUUUCAUCGACUUAUCUUUGAUUUAUUUGAAGGAAAAGACCCUGAUGGAUAAAAGAUGGAUAUUUUUUUCCUGGAGAAGCUAAAACAAUGUAACUUUGAGGUUCUGAUACCAGCUUUUACAACGUUAUUUACAGAGUUCACCAGACUUCUCUGUGGUAUUUCCUGACCAUGCCGAAAAGCUAUUUGAAACUUGGGCAUUGCAUUUUCCAGACAGAAUCCUGCAACUUCCCAGCCAAGAACCAGGAGCAUCAACAAAUCACCUCCAGAACCCCAUGAUGAUAUUCCAACUCCUGUCUACAAAAGUGGGAAGAAAAUCUUAAGUCUAUGUUGGGACCAACAUGGUUGCAUUCUUCUGAGAGGCUGAUGUGACAAAACCAUUCCCAUUUGUCCUUGGAUUGGAAGAUGGCGAUCUCUGCCAUCAAGCCUUCGUUGUUUUUGACAGACAGUCACUCCAGCAAUACACCCUCCUUGGUGAUGUUGACAUGUUUUGACCUUUUUUUUUAUGUUUUGGACAUUAAUUUUACUAAGCAGUGCACAUCAGUGUGGGUGUUUUUGAAGACUGUUGUUUACAAACUCCCAAGAACGGAAUCCCUUUCUAUAAGAAGUCUGUGAAGUUAUUUGUCAUGCUAAGGUGAUAACUCAUGUUGAUCAUAUAUUGACUGUUUGUGCAACUUUGUGUUGAUCUUAUGUGUUACAUUAACAAUUUCUUAUUACACGGUUCUCUAAAAUGCUAGAUUCUGAUUGGCCAGUCGUGACAUUCUACUACUGCUCAAAACUAAGGGGCUGGACACACCAAAACUUUUAAACGCCUUGAGGACGCCAAAUGCCAGCUGUUUUUCAGCUGAGUGCCAGCUUUCUUCAGCUGAGCGCUUUGGUAGCUGUGAUACUUCAGCUGCGAGCCGGUUGGUUGCUGUGGUAAUGUCCCGCCCCUCCUCCACUGUGAUUGGGCGGCUGUGUGAGAACUGACAUUGACGAGCGGAGCUUUUCUCCCAAAGUUGAAUCUCUUUCAACUCUCGACGCUCAGCGCCGAGCGCGGAAAAACCGCCGAGCGCCGGUUUUCAGCGCGGAAAAAAAACGCUAGCUGCUGGCUUAUUUGAAAAACGCCGAGCUUCCAUUGGAAACAAUUGAAAACAUGCGCCGGCCGCGGGCGUAAAAGUUUUGGUGUACACAACCCCUAAAAACUCCAAUGCUGCAAAUAAUUUUGACAGGUAAAGUUUUAUAUUACACAAAAAUUAAAUAUCAAUGUCUAUUAAUUACAUAUCCGACAUUAAAUUUAUAAAUGAUUAAAUGUGUUCGUGACAUUUGUCCUGAAGAAACUGUUGGGGCUUUUUUCUGUGAUGACAUGCUGCCAAUACAUUAUCCCUUACUUGUACAACUUUUUACUUGAUCUAAUUGUAAUGUUAACUGGGUGUCUGUCAUUUUAGAUUGUGAGAUAUAAUACUAAUAUAUUUUUUUUAUAUAUAUUUAUUUAUUUAUUUAUAUAUAAUAUAUAAACGUAUGUAUGUUUAUUAAAAAGUGAAAAUGCUUAAUGGAAAUAAUUAAAUAACUAAAUGGUUGAAUGAAAUGAGACAUUUUAAAUGUAAACUAAAGUUUUGCUGUCUAAUACAGAAUAAAGAGAUGUGAUUUUAAGUAAUUUUUAUAGAUUUAUAUUUCUGUAUAAUACAAUUAAUAAAUAGUAAACUUUUAUAAUUUUCUGGAUCGGUUAUAAUUUCUUAUCAAUAAUAAAUUACUCAUAAUAAUAAAGAACCUUUAAUGGUUCUAAAUAGAACCAUCUAACUUUGAUUCAAAGAACCAUUUGGGGUUCGUUUUAAUGAACCCAUUAAAGUGGUUCUAUGUUGAACCAUUUGGGGGUUCCAUAUAUGAAGCGGGUGAUAGAACCAUUUCUGGUCCGAUAUAGAACCAUUUUUUUUAA